rnacentral:rRNA from 1 species
UCUGACCGGUGCAAAGGUAGCGUAAUCACUUGUUCUUUAAAUGGGGACUCGUAUCAAUGGCAUCACGAGGGCCACACUGUCUCCUCUCUCUAAUCAGUGAAACUGAUCUCCCCGUGAAGAAGCGGGGAUAAAACUAUAAGACGAGAAGACCCCAUGGAGCUUUAAACUGAAAAGCAACUCAGUCACAAAUUCCUCUAUAGCCCACAGAGCCAUGCAUGUAAGUUUUAGGUUGGGGUGACCGCGGAGUAAAAACUAACCUCCACGACGAAAAGAACUAAAUCUUUACCCAAGAGCCACCACUCUAAGAAUUAGCACACUAACGAACAAUGACCCGACAAUCGAUCAACGGACCAAGUUACCCUGGGGAUAACAGCGCAAUCUACUUCAAGAGCUCAUAUCGACAAGUAGGCUUACGACCUCGAUGUUGGAUCAGGAUAUCCCAGUGGUGCAGCCGCUACUAAUGGUUCGUUUGUUCAACGAUUAAAAUCUUACGUGAUCUGAGUUAGGACCGGAGA